GAAUAUGGGGGGACCAUCCUCCAAGGCUAAAUACUCCUGACUGACCGAUAGUGAACCAGUACCGUGAGGGAAAGGCGAAAAGAACCCCGGCGAGGGGAGUGAAAAAGAACCUGAAACCGUGUACGUACAAGCAGUGGGAGCACAGGUUUACCUGUGUGACUGCGUACCUUUUGUAUAAUGGGUCAGCGACUUAUAUUCUGUAGCAAGGUUAACCGUAUAGGGGAGCCGUAGGGAAACCGAGUCUUAACCGGGCGUUAAGUUGCAGGGUAUAGACCCGAAACCCGGUGAUCUAGCCAUGGGCAGGUUGAAGGUUGGGUAACACUAACUGGAGGACCGAACCGACUAAUGUUGAAAAAUUAGCGGAUGACCUGUGGCUGGGGGUGAAAGGCCAAUCAAACCGGGAGAUAGCUGGUUCUCCCCGAAAGCUAUUUAGGUAGCGCCUCGUGAAUUCAUCUCCGGGGGUAGAGCACUGUUUCGGCUAGGGGGCCAUCCCGGCUUACCAACCCGAUGCAAACUGCGAAUACCGGAGAAUGUUAUCACGGGAGACACACGGCGGGUGCUAACGUCCGUCGUGAAGAGGGAAACAACCCAGACCGCCAGCUAAGGUCCCAAAGUCAUGGUUAAGUGGGAAACGAUGUGGGAAGGCCCAGACAGCCAGGAUGUUGGCUUAGAAGCAGCCAUCAUUUAAAGAAAGCGUAAUAGCUCACUGGUCGAGUCGGCCUGCGCGGAAGAUGUAACGGGGCUAAACCAUGCACCGAAGCUGCGGCAGCGACGCUUAUGCGUUGUUGGGUAGGGGAGCG
rnacentral:rRNA from 1 species